UCCCUCAGUGUCUGUUAUAAAUACAAGAGUGGGAGAAGUUUCAUUACAUUCAGAAUGAGCCCACAACACUCUGAAGCCUGUGUUGGUGUAUCUGCUACCACAAAGCUGAGUUCCUAGGGAAGAGCUGGACCUCUUCCAAGAAAGGCUUCAAUAACAUGGGAAAUGGAAGGCAGGAUGAAAAAUGCAACAACUGAGAGCAGACUGCAGAAGAUGGAUCAUCAGACAGUAUAAAUUCUGCUGGCACCCUGGAUGUUAAUGACUCAUCAGGCCCUUUUCUUCCUCCAGGCCCAGUUUGAGUGGAAUAUUGAUUGCUUUACCGUACUGUCACAAAAAUAACCCAAAACCCCGUUACUUUAAAAGCCCCAGGGAUUGAGCUGUAACUGGAGGAGCAGGACUGCAGAGCUGGCAUUGUGUCACACAUGUCAGAUGGUUGUAAAUGCAUCAGGCUGAGUGUCUGGCAGCACGUGGCAGCUGUCAAAACCAGGACAAUGUUUGUGUGCCUACAAGCUGUCUUCUCCAUUUGCCUUUUUGACUCCUGGAGGGGUGAGCAGAAACUGGAAUUCAGAGCAGGAGACUUGAGGCAAUGCCUCUGAUUCCUCCAUUUUCCCACCUUUGUGCAGGUAGUGCUGUAAGAGCUGAAGCACAUGAAGUGUUUGUGCAUUUUUGGAUGUACCAUUGAGAACACACCUCUUGACAGUAUUCACAGUCAGUGUUCAUCC